GACGAACGCUGGCGGCGUGCUUAACACAUGCAAGUCGAACGAAGUGGCGAACGGGUGAGUAACGCGUAAUCAACCUGCCCUUCAGAGGGGGACAACAGUUGGAAACGACUGCUAAUACCGCAUACUGAAGGAGUGGAUUGCGUCUGAUUAGCUAGUUGGCGGGGUAACGUCCCAACAAGGCGAUGAUCAGUAGCCGGGCUGGGAGGAUGAACGGCCACAUUGGGACUGAGAAACGGCCCAGACUCCUACGGGAGGCAGCAGUGGUGAAGCGUCCGCAAUGGACGAAAGUCUGACGGAGCAACGCCGCGUGAGUGAUGACGGCCUUCGGGUUGUAAAGCUCUGUUAAUCGGGACGCGGUACCGGAAUAGAAAGCCACGGCUAACUACGUGCCAGCAGCCGCGGUAAUAC
rnacentral:rRNA from 1 species